GUGCACCAGGCGAGAAUACUUUACAAUGUGCGAAAGCACGAUAAGGGAACUCUGAGUGCCUCCUAAGGAGGCUGUUCAGGUGUCUAAAAGCACCUGAAGGAAGGGCUGGGUAAGACCGGUGCCAGCCGCCGCGGUAACACCGGCAGCCCAAGUGGUAGCCACGUUUAUUGGGUCUAAAGCGUCCGUAGCCGGCUGGGUAAGUUCCUUGGGAAAUUUGGCUGCUUAACAGUCAAGCUUUCAGGGAAUACUGCCCGGCUUGGGACCGGGAGAGGUCAGAGGUACUCCAGGGGUAGGGGUGAAAUCCAUUAAUCCUUGGGGGACCACCGGUAGCGAAGGCGUCUGACCAGACCGGGUCCGACGGUGAGGGACGAAGGCUAGGGGCGCGAACCGGAUUAGAUACCCCUGUAGU
rnacentral:rRNA from 1 species